rnacentral:piRNA from 1 species
UNGUACAUGUUUUCAUUUCAUGGUCUAUGGG